AACGAACGCUGGCGGCAUGCCUAACACAUGCAAGUCGAACGAGACCUUCGGGUCUAGUGGCGCACGGGUGCGUAACGCGUAGGAAUCUACCCUCAGGUUCGGAAUAACUCAGAGAAAUUUGAGCUAAUACCGGAUGAUGACGUAAGUCCAAAGAUUUAUCGCCUGAGGAUGAGCCCGCGUAGGAUUAGGUAGUUGGUGAGGUAAAGGCUCACCAAGCCGACGAUCCUUAGCUGGUCUGAGAGGAUGAUCAGCCACACUGGGACUGAGACACGGCCCAGACUCCUACGGGAGGCAGCAGUGGGGAAUAUUGGACAAUGGGCGAAAGCCUGAUCCAGCAAUGCCGCGUGAGUGAUGAAGGCCUUAGGGUUGUAAAGCUCUUUUACCCGGGAUGAUAAUGACAGUACCGGGAGAAUAAGCUCCGGCUAACUCCGUG
rnacentral:rRNA from 1 species